UUUCUUGAGGACUGCAGAUACA
rnacentral:piRNA from 1 species